CACAAGGCUUUUUUUAAAGCUAUCUAAAGAUUGUUCGAAACUCUC
rfam:Anolis carolinensis chromosome 2, whole genome shotgun sequence.